ensembl:lncRNA
CAGAAGUGGAAAUAUCUUACAAGUUGGUGUGGUAUUUGUGCAGUGUACCUGUAUCUUCAAUUAGACCUUCCAUAUAAUUAACGGUGUUAUAUUAGCAUAGACUACAUCUAGGAGGAAUCAUUGUCCUUAUGCACUAAAGCAUUACAUAGGUACAGUAUGACUAGGAAAAGAAAUUCACUUCAUUGUUUAGUUCCAAUACAGAUUUGUGGCACUUUACUAUACCUACUGUCUUUCAAAGGAGAACUUUAGAAUAAAAAAGCAUUGCAAUAAAGGAGAGAAAGCACGGCAAUGUAUCAUACAGAGUUGCUGUUACACUCAACUUGCAAAGCAGACUUGAAGACACAGAAGUCUUGAUUUUUGCAGUGACCUCCACUCAGGAGUCCCUCCUGACCUCGGGGCUUUGGCACAGCUCUGCAUUGCACCUCUCCGUAUGCUUCCUCUUGGCUUCACACAGAAGCCUGGCAGGGCAAAUCACUUCUUGACAGUCUCUAGAAUGGUGCAUGGAUUUCUCUGAAGAGGUCUUUGAAGAGAUAAUUUGAUGCUGAUGGCCUAGCUGAUUCUUGUUUAAUGAUAAAAUGGAGAGAGACAAAUAAUGCUCUGCUUCUCCCCACAUCCUGGAGAAGGACAAGCCAUCCACAUCCUUUGCAGCACCUAUGAGGCAGCUUUGAGGACUCUCAUCUUCUAUAAAAUCAGCGGGAGCUCUGUGGACUGGAAGAACUGAGCGUGCAGGGUUCUGGAGCAGGAGAAUGCUACACCACUACAAAAGCUGUUACUACUCAGACGUUCUCCAUUCUCAGCACAUGUUAAAAAACUUCUGGUGCACAAAAAUGCCUCUCUCUGCUGAUCCUUACUGAGUCCUCUAGGAAGAGAUGUACCAGUAGGGAAAAGUUCAUGUAUCUAGCGUAGAUCUCUUGCCAGUGGAAUGUA